UUGGCGGUGAACUCCCAGCUACCCUGCCCCUCGGCCAGCACCUGACCGCCGAAGUGCUCCCCACCGGCCAGCACUCCCAGCACCGUCUGCUCCCCGUAGGGCCCCGUGCCGAGCUUGUUCACCUUGCCGUGCGCGAUGAGCACGACCUCUUCGUCCGGGCGUCCCGCCUCGGCGAUCACAUCACCCGCGGCGUACUCGCGCUGCACGAAGCGCUCGGCCAACCCCUCCAGCACCGUGGUGUCGUCGAAACCCCGCAGCGCGGGCAGCUCGCACAACUCGCCCGGGAUCACCCGCACCGUCGAUCCGGUGUUGGAGAACGUCACCAGCCCGUCCCCGAGCUGGUAGCUCAACCUGCGGUUCACCCGGUAGGCCCCGCCCGAGGCCUGCACCCACGGCAGCAGGCGCAGUAACCACCGCGAAGUGAUCGACUGCAUCUGCGGCGGCGUCUUCGUCGUCGUCGACAGAUUCCGCGCCGCCGCCGUACCCAGACUCAACGGAGACUGUCCGU
rnacentral:antisense_RNA from 1 species